AACGCGAAGAACCUUACCGGGGCUUGACAUCCUGCGCUAACCUAGGAGACUAGGUUUCCGGGCAACCGGACGCAGAGACAGGUGCUGCAUGGCUGUCGUCAGCUCGUGCCGUGAGGUGUUGGGUUAAGUCCCGCAACGAGCGCAACCCUUGCCGUGUGUUGGUCGCAAGAUCUCUCACGCGGGACCGCCGGUGACAAGCCGGAGGAAGGUGGGGAUGACGUCAAGUCAGCAUGGCCCUUACGUCCCGGGCUACACACGUGCUACAAUGGGAGGGACAACGAGUCGCGAACCCGCGAGGGCAAGCUAAUCUCACAAACCCUCUCUCAGUUCGGAUUGAAGGCUGCAACUCGCCUUCAUGAAGUCGGAAUCGCUAGUAACCGUAGAUCAGCUACGCUGCGGUGAAUACGUUCCCGGGCUUGUA
rnacentral:rRNA from 1 species